CAAUAUCAUCAACAUAUACAACCAAUAAGAUUAUGUCACCCUUGCACUGUUUAUAAAAAAUUGAAUGAUUACAUUUGCUUUUCUGCAUUCUAAAUUCUUAAACGACCUUAUUAAACCUUCCAAACCAAGCAUGAGGACUAUGCUUUAAGCAUAUAGAGAUUUGCAAUGCGGAUAAACUUUCCCAUACUUCCCCUUGAGCAACAAACUCAGGUAGUUGCUCCAUAUAGACUUCCGCUUGAAGAUCAUUAUGUAGAAAAACAUUCUUAAUAUCCUGACUGGUAUAAAGGCUAGUUAUAGAUGGCUGCCAUAAAAAUGAAAAGGCGAAUGCAUGCCAUUUUUGCCACAGGACAGAAAGUGUCAGAAUAAUCAACACUAUGAGUUUAAGCAUAUUCCUUAGCAAGAAGACGAGCUUUAAGGUGAGCCACAGAACAAUCAGGAUUAACCUUUAUUGAAACACACAUAUACAUCCAAUUGCCUUCUUUCUUGCAAGUAAGGUAACCAAAUUCCAAGUGCCAUUAUUAUCCAAGGCCACCAUUUCCUCCUCCAUGGCGGCUCGCCAGCUAGGAUUAGAUAGAGCUUCAUGAAUUGUUUUAGGAAGUGAGCAAAAUCUAAUGAUGCAAUGAAGGAGCAAGGAAACAGGUGACUAUAAGAAACAAAGGAAGAAAUAUGAUAAGUAUAUUAACGUUUACCUUUCCGAAGAGCAAUAGGAAGAUGAAGACUAGAAUCAUGAUCAUUGGAUACUGGAUCUGACAAUGAAGUAAUUGGUAUAGGUCUUGUGUCAUGAGUCUUUGGUCGGUAAGAGUAGACAUGAAUAUAAGGUGAUCGGGUAGGUGUUGGAGUAGCUGCUAGGAUAAUUGAAGAACUGACAUGGUUGCAGUGUAAACAAGUAUAUCCUCCCCCUAACUCUCCUAAAUGAAAGAGACAGUUAAAAAAAAAUGCAAUGUUUUCCCAAAAAAGUGACAUUUGCAGAUAUCAGAUUUCGGUUUAGGUUAGGAGAAUAGCAGAAUAUCCUAGGAAAAUAUAUUUAAGAGAUUUAGGAUCUAGUUUGGUGAUGUGAGGACUGACAUCACGAACAAAUCAAGUGCAACAAAAAAAUCUUAGGUUCAAUGGGAAACAAUGACUUAGUUGGAAAGAGAAUAGUGUAUGGAGUUUCACAAUUAAGAAUUGAAGAGGGCAUUCUAUUGACUAGAAAACAAGCUGUGGAGACAACAUUUGCCUAGAGUUGUUCAGGCACUUUCAUUUGAAUAAGGGCUCGGGCUACCUUAAGAAGAUGCCUAUUUUUGCUUUUUGCAACCCUAUUUUGAGAGGGCGUUUCAAUACAAGAAGACUGAUAA
rnacentral:misc_RNA from 1 species